UGGAUUUAGUAGUCAGAUCUUCACCUGUCUGCCUGCAAUGUGAGCAAAUUUGUCCUUGAAACUGCAGGCAUACAAAAAAAAAAACAGCACUAAACUCAUAAAUACAGAAUAAAAAACAUUAUAUCUGAACCUUCACAGCCAUGAUUAAUGUCCAUAAAUUGGAGACAUAUCAGAUCUAAAAUCACAUAUGAAAAUGACCCAAAUCGUAUUUAAACAUCUUACUUUUAAUUUUUAUGACAACUCUUUAAAAUGUUAAGUAUAAAUUGUUAUAGUAAUUUUGAUUGUUUUGCCUUUUAAUUUCAUUUUUAAAACUUUGGCAAGUUUUUUGAUUACUAGUACAGUCAAUAGUGAUAGCCUAACUCAUACAUACCCUCAUUCUGCAUUUUUGGGUCUUACACACCAACAGUUAUUUUUUUAAACUCAGAAUUAAACAAGAUAAUGAAUUCUUAACCUGCUCUGUAGUUGAGGAUAAAAUGAGGUCAUGCCUUUUGCCAAAGACAGGGGGUGCUCUGCAGCAGAGAGCUGAGGGAUGGAGGGAUCAAGUGAAUCAAACCAGAGUGUCUUGUCCGCGCACACCAUCCAGACUGGAAGACAACUACUCAGUUAGAAGCUCCAGACUGGAGGACAACAUGGUUGAUGAACACACCCGGAAUUGGGCAGAACAGUCAUUAGGCAAAGUGCCCUCUAGAGGUGAGGAAGCUACACAGGGCAAGCAAUAGAUCUUAUAACACUGCAUUGGUGCUCCAAUUGUAUUUU
rnacentral:lncRNA from 1 species